AUCUCCUUUCCCCUCCCUCACACACUCACACCAAUUGUGACACCUUUUCAAGGCUGUCCUUUAAUGUGUGUGUUUGGAAAGUAGAAAAGGAGGCGGCAAAGAAAUACACGUAAUACAAUUUACUCCAAGACCCAAGACUUAAGACCAUGUAUCAGAGAUGACUUCGCUUAGGGGUUCAGAAAAUUCACUGGCAGAAGUCCAAGAUUAAGGUGCCAGCACAUUUAGUUUCUGGCAAGGCGUCUGUUCCUGGCUUGCAAUGGUCACCUUCUGAAUGGAUCUUCACAUUGAUAGAAAAGAGCUAUACGAAAGAUUACACAACUCAGUUCUGACCAUUGAGGAAAAGAAGCCAUUAGUUUCCUGGUGAAUGAAGAUAGACACAGCUUGAGUCAUACCCUCCCCUUUCUGCCUUGAAUACUCUUUCUCCUCCGUGAUGCCCCUCUGCCAUGCCACCCUACAUUGGAGCCAGCCAACUACGGACUGAAACCUCUACAAACUGUGGCUGCAAUAAAUCUUUCCUCCCUUAA
ensembl:lncRNA